rnacentral:lncRNA from 1 species
GCCGCCCGGCGCCCUGGACGCCUGGGCCGAGCCGCACCUGGAGCGCCUGCUGCGGGAGAAGUUGGACGGACUAGUGAAGCUCCGGACUGCUCGGGAAGCCCCAUCCGAAUGUGUCUGCCCCCCAGAAAACUAUAGGAACAGAGAAACACGAUCCUUCUACAGAGGACCAAGGAGUUUUGG